rnacentral:rRNA from 1 species
AUUGAACGCUGGCGGCAUGCCUUACACAUGCAAGUCGAACGGUAACAGGUCUUCGGAUGCUGACGAGUGGCGAACGGGUGAGUAAUGCAUCGGAACGUGCCCAGUAGUGGGGGAUAGCCCGGCGAAAGCCGGAUUAAUACCGCAUACGACCUGAGGGUGAAAGGGGGGGAUCGCAAGACCUCUCGCUAUUGGAGCGGCCGAUGUCAGAUUAGCUAGUUGGUGGGGUAAAGGCCUACCAAGGCAACGAUCUGUAGUUGGUCUGAGAGGACGACCAGCCACACUGGGACUGAGACACGGCCCAGACUCCUACGGGAGGCAGCAGUGGGGAAUUUUGGACAAUGGGCGCAAGCCUGAUCCAGCAAUGCCGCGUGCAGGAAGAAGGCCUUCGGGUUGUAAACUGCUUUUGUCAGGGAAGAAAUCUUCUGAGUUAAUACCUCGGGAGGAUGACGAUACCUGAAGAAUAAGCACCGGCUAACUACGUGCCAGCCGCCGCAGUAAAAC